AAGGCUUUAGCUUAAUUAAGUGUCUGGGUUGCAUUCAGAGGAUGCAGGAUAAAGUCCUGCAAGUCUUA
rnacentral:tRNA from 1 species